rnacentral:pre_miRNA from 1 species
UGUCUCAUGUAUUGGAAUGUUGCCUCAGUUUCACCAACAUUCCAGUGCCUGAGUCAUA